AAUGAUAAAAUAUUACACUUAUUAAAAGCAAUAUUUAGUUAUAAGAGUAUGAUUAGAACCGAACAACCUAAGUAAUGAAAAAAAUUAAAUAAAUAUUACAAUUUAUCAAGAAAAAUUUCCCACACAUCUAUAUUCCGAUAUAAUUAUUAAUAAGCGCACAUUAAAUGUCACAAUGAAAUGGAAAUAUUUCAUUAACUCUAACAUGUCAUCAUAUAAAAGCAUCUAUGCAGGAUGUUAUUCACUCUUUAAAUCGUGGUACCAGAUUAUUAUGAAAUACAA
rnacentral:misc_RNA from 1 species